UUCAGUAUCUCCUAUUCUUAACUGUGAUUUGUCGCAGUCAAGAGUCGCAGUUAAGGAACGUAGGUCGCAUAUCCCUCCGCCACUGCUUUUUCUGCUACUUCCGCGAUUUCUGCGAUUUUUGUGACUUCUGCGAUUUCUGUGACUUCUGCGAUUUCUGCGACUUACCACCGUAUGAAAAAGUUACAUCUGCCCACACAGAAAAUUGCAUCUCAACAAAUCUGUCAUUGGUACCCGAACUACAUUUCUGUCACUCAGUAAAUUGAUAACUCAAAAUAUCAUUGUCAACAGAUCUGGAGAAAUUGCCACUGUGUCUUUAGACCAUUUUCGUCAGACGAGAGACACAGUUCUGACUCUUGAUUACUGGUUGCUGUACGUAUCUAUCCACAUCAAGGCUAUUGAGAGAGACUCAUGAAGAUUCAAGACAGCUCUUAGAGGAUUUGCAGUUUAAAAGUGACAUAAUUGUGAAAUAAGUGUGCAGAUGAGUGAUUAAACUGUGUUUUAUUGAAGUUGUUAUGCGAUUUUAAAGGAAUAAUAAAUGUUAAA